rnacentral:rRNA from 1 species
AUUCCAGCUCCAAUAGCGUAUACUAAAGUUGUUGCAGUUAAAAAGCUCGUAGUUGAAUUUCUGGUCUUGGACGGCGGUCUACCACAAUUGUGGUACGUACCAACUGUCCGAGUCCAUCCUCGGGGAAAACAUGCCUGUGAUUCAGUUCAUGGGUAUGGGAUCCUCGUCAUUUACUGUGAGCAAAAUAGAGUGUUCAAAGCAGGCUUAUGCCGUUGAAUACAUUAGCAUGGAAUAAUAAGAUAGGACCUUGGUCUAUUUUGUUGGUUUGUACUCCAAGGUAAUGAUUAAUAGGGAUAGUUGGGGGUAUUCGUAUUCAAUUGUCAGAGGUGAAAUUCUUGGAUUUAUGGAAGACGAACUACUGCGAAAGCAUUUACCAAGGAUGUUUUCAUCA